GGCACUUGUCAAGAAUUGCCUGGAGCAGCGCAUAAACCGGUUUCAAUGAUCGGAAAGCGCACAGCAGGAGAAUCCGCAAAGGGAAAAUCCGGAUUGACAGCAAACAGGCCUAAAAACCUGUAUUACGAUGCAAAGUCAUCCACUCCAUGGCCUUUCGAUAUACAAUAGGGCCUCAGUCUAGCCAUCGGGUACAAUGAACGAGGCUGGAAAAACAACCUUAUAACUAGUUUGUUAACAAUCGGACAUCGGACGAUUCCUUUUCUGUGUUUGCGCUACAUCCUGGUCGACGAAAAAAAAAACCGGUCGUCUUUCCAGAUUUGACAACUCGUAAUUUGUUGAAAUGUAGCGCCCACACAACAAGCUUUGAAAGAAGAAUUAAAUCAUCAGAAUUGUUAACUAAUUAACAGUGAAAAAGCACUAAUUAACAUUGAGCCAAAACAUUAACAAGUAAAGAAUAUAUUCUGUUUUCCUUCUAUGAUGGCAGUCGACCAUCUGACUACAAAACGAUCGAGCAAAAACAUAGUCGACCUUGGCAUUCAGAAGAGUUGACUAUCUGUUGGCCGGCCAGAAGGACGCAACAGAUCUCUUCGAGCUCUUUGUCGCAUAAAUAAUGAUGGGAACCAGCCUGCGCGCUGACGAUCGGUUUUUCCGUUUCUUCACUUCGACUUCCUGGUUUGCCAUCAAAAUCGCCACACUUGUAAUUGUGUAACUUGAAAACGUCAAUAUUGUCCGUUCUGGUAGCGGGUUUGGGACUGAUCAUCGACCCUUUCUUCCAGAAGAAAGGAGGCCAAUUUCAGAAAAUAAAAGAAAAUUCUAUCCAGUCCCAAAGUCGCAGCCAUAUACAUAUCUAUCAAAAAUUGACACUGAUUAUUCAAAGUUCAACAAAAACUGAUGAAUGGAUCCGAAAAUGUGCAAUGCAAAUUAUUAGAGGAGAAAAACCCAUUAGGCCACACAUUUUCCUAAAAAUAAACUUGGCAAAAUUUUAAUAUGCACAGCGUGCGAGCUGACACCGAUCAAAUGGGGCGUGCAACCUUGGACACGUUCGCACUUGCAUACAAAUCGAUCAAGUUUUGACGGUUUUGCUUCAUAUCGGUGGAUAAAUGUCACCAGCGAACGAACCAGCUUGUGAUCGCACCUCCUAAUAUGAUGGCUUAAUAAGGCCCUGGUCAAGACAGGAAAAACCACAGCAGUUGCCAUAGAAACCCGCUUGUUUAUGUAGCUUUAACUUGAUGUACCCGGUGCGAUCACAGCAAUUUUUGAAAUCUUACUUCCAGAAAACUAAUUAAACUUUAGCAGAAGUUUGCGCAAAGUUUUCGAUGGCUCUAAGCACUUUUUCAAUAAUUUCCGCGAAAACGAACGUUUCUUUUGAUUAAGCCCCGAUUAACUUUGCAGAAAUUAAUAACCCGGAGGAUUCUGUGACCAAACAAAGGAGCAAAAGCGACCCAUACACGCCAGCUAAUUGAAGUAGGUUGCCAAAAAUAUUAGACAAUUGCACAAACGAAGCAGGCAUGUUCACAGGUUAAUGUAGUCGAUUGUCAUUGGUAACAUGCUGAACAGUUUCACAGUUAAAACCCAUUUUUUCUCAGCUGAUGCCGCUUUAAUCCUGUACGUGUAUGGGGCGCUUUAGGACCUAGCCAAAACGCCCCGGAAGUGGAAGGUUUAUUAUUUAUAACUAAUUUAAAGUGGCAACUUGAAAAUUCAAUGCCUGCUUUGGUUUCGAUGGCAAAUUAGUAGCUCUAACGACCUUCUUAGAACGUAUUCGACUUGUCUCAGGUCGUGACAAAUUGGAGAGUAGAUGCGCAAUACUAAAUUACGUGGCGAAACCGCAAAUUGUCGGCAUUUUCCUGAUUUCUACUUAUUCCGGUCGUAAUGAGGCCGAAUGGGGCGCAAUUAGGGGAUGGAAUUGCCGGCCGAAUUCAAUGCAAUUUAAAUGGAAUUGUUCUGAGCAAUCUGAGUUUUUCACUACUCGAACGUGCUUUGUUUGCAACCCGAAAAAAAUGUUGUUAUGUCAUCACGGGAAUCACUGCUGUUUAUGUAACAGAUCACAGGAAGUCGUGCGUUGAAUUUAAAAUCGCCAAAUUAUAAUGAAAACGCCAGUAUAAAAAGAGGAGAAUCCCAGUGGAAGAGCAUCAAAACAGUGCAGUUUCUCAUCCAGCAUCUAUCAGUGUAAUUAAAAUGGCUAAACUGGCAUUCGUUGUGUUGGUUCUGGCGCUGCUCGCCAUUGGAGGCACAGUGGCGGCCCCGUUCGCAUUCCCCAACCCUGCCCCUAAUCCAGUGGCGGCUCCCCAAUACUACUCGGCUUACUCCUACCCAUACAGCGCCUAUUCUUACCCCUAUGGAUACGCCUACUAUGGAUAGAACCACCUAGUAGUUCCUGCCUAUCAACGCUUACCUUUACGCACGCAAACCGCUGGGAUUUUUGCCAAUGUUGUUAAUAAAACUAGUUAAGAAGCUUUGAUUUGUUUUUCUUCUGAAACUACCCAACAUUGGAUUCUUGCAAAGCCUGCAAAGGUCAAUGCGAUCUUCAUCUCGUUUCAAUGAAACUAAAAGCGUUGACGUUAAAAACUGGUACGACCGGCAGUCGUCUGUUUUAUUGGAGCGAUUCGCUCAAGAAGUGCUUGACCAAAGCCAUCGACGAUUGUCGAGUGGAAGCAGAAUGGGGAAUUUAAAGAUUCUUGACGGUUUGGCCAUCGAGAACUUGAUCGUGGAAGUUGAAUGAGAACUUCUGGAACUUCCCGGUGGAAGCAAGAGGAAAGUCAGCGCGACGUUUUGGGCAAGAUAAGAUAGAAUGGUCCACCGUCCAGCCUAUGUGGCUUCGAUGGAUCAGGCUAGGUCAGGAUGGCCUACUGCAUUCUUUUUGCCUUCUUGGCGUGGCAAAAAUGCGGCAAUUGAGCGGUUGCACUUGGGAAUGGAAAAAAUCGAGUGCACGCGCAUAUAAAAGGCCUGUAGGCCCGUUGGGCCUGCAGAAGUUGUCUAACAGUGACAAGUCCAACAACACGAUGUUCAAGCUACUGCUCGCUUUUUUCGCCCUUGUGGUCUGCGCAAUGUGUGCACCAUCACCAGUGCCGGCGCCUGCUCCCAAACCAGGUCUCGCCCUGACUUAUCCGGUGGGAGAAAUUCCCCUCGCUUACGAGUACCGGUACCCCGCCCUCUCCUACGCCAAAACCUACUCUUAUGGCAACUUGGGCCUCGGCUACUACCCCUCUAGCUACUACUACAACGCCCCCCUCUACACGAUCUAAACGACCACUUGGCGAAGAAAUGGACUCUUGGAUAAUCGACGCCCCGACUGAUUAGUGCUUAAGGAAACAUUUUCAUGCAAAAUGUCUUAGGUAACGACUGACUUUCAAAAUCAAUAAAAUUGCUAAAAGUAUCUCAGUGAGUGAUUAACCCUUUCAUCCAGUUGCGAAAGUUGCACUGCUACCGCACUAAAACGCUUUAGAACCCCGCCACAGUGACGGCGCUAAAAUCGCUUGGAUGAGAAAAUUCAACAGAAUAUCUUGUUGCUCUAAACUGGACCUUGAUGGAAAACUCGACCCAUUUAAAGGAAAAUGUCCAAUUAAGCUGAUUCGCAAAUAGUCGUUGAAAUCAAGCCGACUUUCAGCUGCAAACAGUCGCCGACUAACGAGCCGAUGGAAUUUUUGCAACAAUUACCUUAAUUGACACUGCAGAGUCCUGGUAACUAACCUACGGUAACGACUGGCGGGUUGGGAGAGGAAAAACCCGCGAAAAGAACUAUAAUUGAAAUUAAUCCGGCAGCUGUGCUUUCAAGGCCUGUCGAUGCUCAGGAGGACUUAAAAGUCCAUUAUAUUCUUAGAUCGAUCAAAUUGUCAUUCAAAUCACUUGUAGUCGGGCCAUUCUUGUCGAGAUGUGACCGAAUCUUGCAGGCAUUUCAAGGCUUGCAGUUGUUAUUGGGGAUCUCGAGGAACAUGUCCUGUUUCGCCAUUUUCUGCCUGUUUUUUGCGGUCUUUCUGGCCCUUGAGGCCAUGCCGUUGUUCAACACGUUGUACGCUCUGAGGGCGCCGGAUGGCAGCUUUGAUGAACGAUUCCGCUUGGUUUACACCCACUCUGUAUAUCGGAACGGACGAGCUGUGGAACUGAUUUCCCGUUGAAUAUUUGUGUUUUAAUUGUAAAUUUUAGGAGAAAUGUAUCUAA
rnacentral:lncRNA from 1 species